AACGAACGCUGGCGGCAUGCCUAACACAUGCAAGUCGAACGAAGCCUUCGGGCUUAGUGGCGCACGGGUGCGUAACGCGUGGGAAUCUGCCCUUGGGUUCGGAAUAACAGUUAGAAAUGACUGCUAAUACCGGAUAAUGUCUUCGGACCAAAGAUUUAUCGCCCAGGGAUGAGCCCGCGUAGGAUUAGCUAGUUGGUGAGGUAAAGGCUCACCAAGGCGACGAUCCUUAGCUGGUCUGAGAGGAUGAUCAGCCACACUGGGACUGAGACACGGCCCAGACUCCUACGGGAGGCAGCAGUGGGGAAUAUUGGACAAUGGGCGAAAGCCUGAUCCAGCAAUGCCGCGUGAGUGAUGAAGGCCUUAGGGUUGUAAAGCUCUUUUACCCGGGAUGAUAAUGACAGUACCGGGAGAAUAAGCCCCGGCUAACUCCGUGCCAGCAGCCGC
rnacentral:rRNA from 1 species